UCUACAGAACAACCUUUAAGAAGGUCCAGUGAAUGACUAGACUCUACCGUUAUAGGAAAGAAAUGUCAGUCUUAUAGACAAUUCAUCUAAUUUAUUUCAGCCAGAAUUGGUGUUUAAUAGGAAUUCAGGAGUAGAGCUUGAGCUUGACCUCCAGUGAAAGGAUACAAAAGGCUUCUACACCAUACUUAUCAAAGAAAGAGACCUUUCCUUCA
rnacentral:lncRNA from 1 species